rnacentral:rRNA from 1 species
CACCCAGGACGGUGGAUCACUCGGCUCGUGGGUCGAUGAAGAACGCAGCAAAUUGCGCGUCGGCAUGUGAACUGCAGGACACAUGAACAUCGACGUUUCGAACGCACAUUGCGGUCCAUGGAUUCCGUUCCCGGGCCACGUCUGUCUGAGGGUCG